rnacentral:rRNA from 1 species
UACGUAGGGUGCGAGCGUUGUCCGGAAUUAUUGGGCGUAAAGAGCUCGUAGGCGGUGUGUCGCGUCGGCCGUGAAAACCUGCAGCUUAACUGUGGGCUUGCGGUCGAUACGGGCAUCACUGGAGUUCGGCAGGGGAGACUGGAAUUCCUGGUGUAGCGGUGAAAUGCGUAGAUAUCGAGAGGAACACCUGCGGCGAAGGCGGGUUGCUGGGCCGACACUGACGCUGAUGCGCGAAAGCCAGGGGAGCAAACGGG